rnacentral:tRNA from 1 species
GCCUGGUUGGUUGAGUCAGAAGAACAUGUGACUCUUGAUCUCGGGGUUGUGAGUUUGAGUCCCACAUUGGGUA